AGAGAUUCCUGCACUUAGAGGCCAAAAGGACAACAAUUUGCACUUUUACUUUGGUGUCGGAAAGAACCGUAGUCUCAUAUGGUUACACGGAAGUGUUUUAUGAUAAUCAGUGAAAAAUGAGGAAAAUAGUCUCUCUUAGGCUGAGCACCUAGGAAAUGAGUGGCUCUUGGCUGUAAGUCAAUGAACAGCAUUAAUAUAUGCAGUUACCAAGUCAUCAUUAACACAUAAAGCACUGCAGGGUUUCAAUCGAUUCAUCAGAAUUCUUGAAAGUCCUAUUUUAAGGCAGUUCAAACAGAGGCGAGGCAGCUGAACCUGGUGAGGCUGCCAGGAACAGCGAGUUCUGCCUCUGAAUUUGCUCCUGACUCAGUGCCUGACCUUGGGCAAGCACUCAACGUCUCACUAUCUCAGUUUCCUCAGCCAUAAAAUGGGGAUAACAGACCUUAGCCACCUCAUAGGAGUGUCAUAAAUGUCUGCAAAAACCUUUCAAGUUGUCCAGAGAGGAAAGACAGGCCAAAAUAGUUCAGUAUGCUGUCUUACUGGGAGGACAACAGCUUAAGCCACAAAGCCCUGAGUUUGACCCUAGAACUCUGUGGCUACUGGUGACUCAUCUUGAAAAUUAUCAGAUUGAAUCUUCUCUACCGGUUUGAUAACAACUGAUGAGUGGAAAAAGAACGCCAAUCAAAUGUGCAUGCUUAAUAAGCAGCCUCCUUAUUCCCCUCUGCAGAUUUGUGCUUGGAUCAUCUACACUUCCCUGAAUGUUGAAGAAGAUAUGCUAUCCAUGCAAUCCUUGUCGACUGCUUGAUUAAAAAGUGGAUAAACUGUCUUCAGGCCCUUGGAGUAUGGUGUCUGUGUGAAGAAGGGAAUGAGGCAGAAGUAGCAGUCAGUGGUGGCUGAAGUAGGAGAAAGUGCUUGCUAAUGAAAUCUUGAUUUUUCUGUGGCUUUUCUGUGCAAUUGGGUGGCUAAGUAGGAAAGCCAUUGGAGCUUCACUGUAUCAAUUCUGCCUUUCUUGUUUUUUGGAACUCCAAUUCACCAAGGCUCCCUGCCACCCUAUCCAUCUAUAACUUUUCAUCACUUUUUCCUCAAAGUAAGAAGUGUGUCCCAGAAAAUGUGCCUUUGUGACUCAGCAACAUUUCAAAUCCAUCUGAGCCUUCCCAGCGUUCCAAAAGAAAUACUGAUUUGAAUUCAGCUGCUUAAAAAACCAGUCUCUAAGCAGACAGCUUGAAACUUCCUUACAGCAAUAGUUUAGGCUUUGGAGGGGAAAUUGGUUUGUUUUUAAUUGUUUUAAUUUUUCAUUCAAUUCAUUUGCCGCCUGAUUAUAUAUGAUCUUUUGAGCCCAAUACUCUGCUAAAUUAACCUUGACUUUCUUUCUCUCUUUCUCUCUCUCUCCUUCUCUCUUUCUUCCUUUCUUUCUUUCUUUUUGACAGAGCCUUGCUCUGUCGCCCAGGCUGGAAUGCAGUGGCACAAUCUCAGCUCACUGUAAACUCCGCCUCCAAAGUUCAAGCAAUUCUCCUGCCUCAGCCUCCUGUGUAGCUGGGAUUACACACGCCAGCCACCAUGCCUGGCUAAUUUUUGUAUUUUUAGUAAAGAUGGAGUUUCACCCUCUUGGCCAAGCUGGUCUCGAACUCCUGACCUCAACCUUGGCCUCUCAAAGUGCUGGGAUUACAAGCAUGAGCCACCAUGCCUGGCCUUACCUUGAUUUUUUUUUUUUGAGACAGAGUCUCACUCUGUUGCUCAGGCUGGAGUGUAGUGGCUCGAUCUUGGCUCACUGCAACCUCCAUCUCCCGGGUUCAAGAGAUUCUCCUGCCUCAGCCUCCCAAGUAGCUGGGACUACAGGUGUGGGCCACCACGCCUAGCUAAUUUUUUAUAUGUUUACUAGAGACAGGGUUUCACCAUGUUGGGCAGGCUGGUCUUGAACUCCUGACCUCAGGUGAUUCACCUGCCUCGGCCUCCCAAAAUGCUGGGAUUACAGGUGUGAGCCACCACACCCGGCCCCUACCUUUGAUUUUUAAGUCAAGAGGGAACAAGUCGAAAUUUCUAUUCAGGUAAACUGUAUACCUUUGGACACUGAAUCACUUUUAGAACCCCAGUAAAAAUCAUGUAUGAAUGACCCACAAUUUCACUCCAACAGGAAGGUGUGUAUAUGUGCACAAAAACAUUAGAUUGUUCACACCGGUGCUAUUCAUAAUAGUCAAAAACUGGAAACAACUCAAACAUCCAUCAACUGUAGAAUGGAUAAAUAAAUCAUGAUAUAUUCAUACCAUGGAACAUAACAGUGACAAUAAAUGAACCACUGCUACACACAACAGAUAUGAAUUUCACAAACAGAAUGCUGAGCAACAGAAGCCAAACACAGAAGGAUACACAUUUAUAAAUCCAUUUGUAUGAAGUUCAUAAACAGACAAAAUUAGUCAGUGGAGAUUAUUCUCAUAGAAGUCUGAAGGGUAGUUGUCUUUAGGGAGGGGGAUAUAGUGACUGAGGUGGGUAUAAGGGGUUUCUGGGGUUUGGUGAUGGUACACCAGCAUAUUCACUCUGAAAACUCAUUGAGCUGUGCAAUAAUGAUUUUUCAAACUUUUAUAUGUGUAUGAUAAUGCUUCAAUAAAGCUUUGCUUAAAAA
rnacentral:lncRNA from 1 species